rnacentral:rRNA from 1 species
UACAGAGGUCUCAAGCGUUGUUCGGAUUCAUUGGGUUUAAAGGGAGCGUAGGUGGCCAAAUAAGUCAGUGGUGAAAUCCUGUUGCUUAACAACAGAAUUGCCAUUGAUACUGUAUGGCUUGAGUAUAGUUGCCGUUGGCGGAAUAUGACAUGUAGUGGUGAAAUACAUAGAGAUGUCAUAGAACACCGAUUGCGAAGGCAGCUGACGAAACUAUAACUGACACUGAGGCUCGAAAGUGCGGGGAUCAAACAGG